rnacentral:rRNA from 1 species
UACGGAGGGGGCAAGCGUUAUUCGGAAUUAUUGGGCGUAAAGGGCGCGUAGGCGGCUAGAUGUGUCAAAGGUGAAAUCCCUCGGCUCAACUGAGGAACUGCCUUUGAAACUGUCUGGCUUGAGGCCGGGAGAGGGUAGCGGAAUUCCCAGUGUAGCGGUGAAAUGCGUAGAUAUUGGGAGGAACACCAGUGGCGAAGGCGGCUACCUGGACCGGUCCUGACGCUGAGGCGCGAAAGCGUGGGGAGCGAACGGG